rnacentral:rRNA from 1 species
GUUUGAUCAUGGCUCAGAUUGAACGCUGGCGGCAGGCCCAACAUGCAAGUCGAGCGGAUGAAGGAGCUUGCUGGAUUCAGCGGCGGACGGUGAGUAAUGCCUAGAAUCUGCCUGGUAGUGGUGGAUAACGUCCGGAAACGGGCGCUAAUACCGCAUACGUCCUGAGGGAAAGUGGGGAUCUUCGGACCUCACGCUAUCAUGAGCCUAGGUCGGAUUAGCUAGUUGGUGGGUAAAGGCCUACCAAGGCGACGAUCCGUAACUGGUCUGAGAGGAUGAUCUUGAACUGAGACACGGUCCAGACUCCUACGGAGGCAGGGAAGGACAUUAAUAAUGGGCGAAAGCCUGAUCCAGCCCGCCGCGUGAAGAAGGUCUCGGAUUGUAAAGCACUUUAAGUUGGGAGAAGGGCAUUAGUGUUACCUUGCUGUUUGACGUUACCAACAGAAUAAGCACCGGCUAAUUUCGUGCCAGCAGCCGGUAAUACGAAGGGUCAAGCGUUAAUCGGAAUUACUGGGCGUAGAGCGCGUAGGUGGUUCAGCAUGGAUGUGAAAUCCCCGGGCUCAACCUGGAACUGCAUCCAAACUACUGAGCUAGAGUACGGUAGGGUGGAAUUUGUGUAGCGGUGAAAUGCGUAGAUAGAAGGGAACACCAGUGGCGAAGGCGACCACCUGGACUGAUACUACACUGAGGUGCGAAAGCGUGGGAGCAACAGGAUUAGAUACCCUGGUAGUCCACGCCAAACGAUGUCGACCAGCCGUUGGGAUCCUUGAGAUCAUAGUGGCGCAGCCUAACGCGAUAAGUCGACCGCCCGGGCAAGGUUAAAACUCAAAUACCGAUGGGGCCCCACAAGCGGUGGAGCAUGGUUGAAUGCAACGCGAAGAACCUUACCUGGCCUUGACAUGCUGAGAACUUUCCAGAGAUGGAUUGGUGCCUUCGGGAACUCAGACACAGGUGCUGCCGGCUUGCCGUGUCGGAGAUAAUAGUCCCAACGAGGUAACCUGUCCUUGUUGCACCAGCACCCGCGGGGCACUCUGGACUGCCGUGGACAAACUGAGGAAGAAGGACGUCAAGUCAUGCGGCCCUUACGGCCAGGCCACGAAGGCACCGAUGAACCUGAGAAUGUCGUAGUAACGUGAAUCGAAGCCGCAGAAUACGGGUUCGGCCUUGUACACCGUCCAGAUCCACCAUGGAGUGGUUGCUCCAGAAGUAGCCAGUCUAAUCCGCAAGUGGACGGCUACCAUUGCCGGCGAUUGCUCAACGCCAGUGGAAGUCGUAACAAGGUAGCCGUAGGGAAACCCGCGGAUCA